CACGUAGGGGGCGAGCGUUGUCCGGAUUUAUUGGGCGUAAAGAGCUCGUAGGCGGCUAAGUAAGUCGGGUGUGAAAACUCCAGGCUCAACCUGGAGACGCCACCUGAUACUGCUUUGGCUAGAGUCCGGUAGGGGAGCAUGGAAUUCCUGGUGUAGCGGUGAAAUGCGCAGAUAUCAGGAGGAACACCAGUGGCGAAGGCGGUGCUCUGGGCCGGAACUGACGCUGAGGAGCGAAAGCGUGGGGAGCAAACAGG
rnacentral:rRNA from 1 species